UGCCUUUGUACACAAGCCCAUAUGUGCCUUGUCCAAUGAAAUACCUCUGCGAAAAUCCAUUAGUAGCUCGUUCAAGUUCUGAUAAGUUAAACCAUUUUGCACCAGAGUUAGGCAACACACUGGCCCUGAAACUGCUCGCAUAAUGCUCAUGUGAAGCAUUAAGCUUCCUCUUCUUAUGCCAUCUCCUGUACCAAAGAAUUAGUCCAAAAGCAAGUAAAGCACCAAUGACAGCACCUGUGAAUGCGAAAACCAAUUUGAGAGAUCUAUCUUUGCUGAAUUUUUUGGAUCGAUUUUUAAUUGAUGAGCCUGUAAAUGGCAAGCCUAGCAUACAACCAGCUGUUCUAGGAUCCAUAGGACCAAACUCAUUAACGAUUGCAGCAGCAUACAAACAAGUGAAGUAAAAGCAUUUUGAAUUGGCAUUUGGAUCUAAACCAGUUAACUGGGAAGUCACUUUUUGGCC
rnacentral:misc_RNA from 1 species